rnacentral:snRNA from 1 species
UUGCUCACUUCAGCAGUACAUAUAGUAAAACUGGGACAAUACAGAGAAGAUUAAUAGGAUGACACACAAAUUCGUUAAGUGUUCCAUAUUUUU